CCUACGGGAGGCAGCAGUGAGGAAUAUUGGUCAAUGGACGCAAGUCUGAACCAGCCAUGCCGCGUGAAUGAAGACUGCCCUAUGGGUUGUAAACUUCUUUUGUAUGGGGGUAGACUCUUCCACGUGUAGGAUUUUGUAUGUACCAUAUUAAUAAGGAUCGGCUAACUCCGUGCCAGCAGCCGCGGUAAUACGGUGGAUCCGAGCGUUAUCCGGAUUUAUUGGGUUUAAAGUGAGCGUAGGCGGAUUGUUAAGUCAGUUGUGAAAUUGUGCGGCUCAACCUGAGAAUUGCAGUUGAUACUGGCAGGCUAGAGUACAGUAGAGGUGGGCGGAAUUCGUGGUGUAGCGGUGAAAUGCUUAGAGAUCACGAAGAAUUCCGAUUGCGAAGGCAGCUCCCUGGACUACAACUGACGCUGAGGUUCGAAAGUGUGGGGAGCAAACAGGAUUAGAUACCCUUGUAGUC
rnacentral:rRNA from 1 species